rnacentral:rRNA from 1 species
CGCGUAGGCGGCCUUUUAAGUCGGAUGUGAAAGCCCCGGGGCCUAACCCCGGAAGUGCAUUCGAUACUGAGAGGCUUGAGUAUGGGAGAGGGAAGUGGAAUUCCUGGUGUAGAGGUGAAAUUCGUAGAUAUCAGGAGGAACACCUGUGGCGAAGGCGACUUCCUGGACCAAUACUGACGCUGAGGCGCGAAGGCGUGGGGAGCAAACA